AUGAUACCCACCUUUGCUAGUUCUGGGAAAUGGUACAUUGUGGGCCUGGUGUACGACUCCCCAGUCUUCGCCCCCUACAAAGACAAGCUUAGAGUAUCCAUGGGCAUCCUGACUCCACAGACCAACGCUAACAUCCUGAUUCCACAAGCCAAUGGCAACGUCAACAUCCUGACUCCACAGACCAACAAGCAACGUCAAUCUCCUGACUCCACAGACCAACGUCAGUGUCAACCUCCUGACUCCACAAACCAAUGACAACAUCAAUCUCCUGACUCCACAGACCAACGUCAAUGUCAACCUCACCAAGUCGGCCCAGAGGAUAACAGAAUGAUAUACAACACUAGAAUGGGAAUUGGCAUCCAGGCAACCUAACUAAAGGACAGCCACCUGGGUUAGGGUAUUGAGGAUGUACUAAGAUGGAUGCAUAUUCCUACUGUAUCAUUAUGUUCUUUCUCCUUGUGUGAAGAUCGUCAUGAUGCCGCAGUAAGCUCUACGCAUACGAAAAGACAGUGAUACAUGGUGAAUUCGUCCAAUGGCCUUAUUUCUAUUACAGCAUAUUGGAUGACUGUUAUUCAUAUUCCAUUCACCCAUACUUGAAUUUUUCCUUUUUCUCUAAAUCUGUAAACUUUCAUUCAUUGGCUAGGUUGUCUAGCCUCUGCCUGCAAUUUAUCUGUUUCAUUCCGUUUUCUUACCCUUAAGAAAUGUUUUCACCAGAAUCGACGGAAUGAAUGCACCCCUGAUCACACAUAGAUGGACCCCUGAUCACACACUGAUAAAGAUGGUCCUCAUAGGAGCCACAUAAAAACAACAUGAUCACUUUUCUCAUUGUAUAAUUCCUUCUCGCAUUUACGCGAUCUCCUCCUCUCACAUCUUCCCUUCACUUGUCGACUUCAGUGCACAUUAGCUGUCUGUGACCAGGCAAAAAACCUUUCCAAGCCAAACCUUGAUUUCAUAACCGUUAAGCGCUACACAGAGCCUACAUCAUUUUCCCCAUAUUCGCUAACGUCAGUCAACAUAGUUACUAGAACUAACGUGUAAACCCACUGCAAUCAUGCAGUACAGUGUACAGUCAGCAGGCAGUUUAGCAGUUACACCGGCAGCCAAGGUGGCAAUAAAUUAAUAAAACCAAAAGCUUACCUUGACUUGGAAGAGUUCCAGUGUUGGAUAGCCAAAGCUGGCUAGCUAACAUAGCAUCCCUCUCUGUUUGAGCCUGGUGUUUGAGUAGGCUAAAAUAGCAAGCUGCAUUUGCUAGCUAAGUAAAAGUUCAAGUGAAAAUUAAUACAACAAAAUAUAGCAAGCUCGCUUUCUCUCAGUUUUAUAAUAAAUUCAAUGUACCAAGAGGAGGACGGAAACUAGCUGUCCUCCGGCUACACCAUGGUGCUACCCUACAGAGUGCUACUGAGGCUACUGUAGACUAUUGCAAAACAGUGUUUUUUAAUCAUUUAUUUGAUGAUGUGAAUAUACUGUAUUUAGUGUAGUUUUAUCUAAAAAGUUUCAUAAAAAAUAACUAUUUCACCUUCUCCACUGAUAAAGAUGGUACUCCACUUCCUCCUCUGAGGAUCUUCCACUGCUCUAGUCCUCUGCCUGCCGUUACAAGAGAAGUCCUCUGCCUGCCCUUACAAUAUAAGUCCUCUGCUUGCCCUAACAAGAGAAGUCCUCUGCUUGCCCCUACAAGAGAAGUCCUCUGCUGGCCCCUACAAGAGAAAUCCUCUGCUUGCCCUUACAAGAGAAGUCCUCUGCCUGCCCUAACAAGAGAAGUCCUCUGCCUGCCCUAACAAGAGAAGUCCUCUGCUUGCCCCUACAAGAGAAGUCCUCUGCUUGCCCCUACAAGAGAAGUCCUCUGCUUGCCCUUACAAGAGAA
rnacentral:lncRNA from 13 species